rnacentral:lncRNA from 1 species
CUUCCACAGUAACUUUCUAUAGCUGGCAAAGAGCCCUGCACAAAGACCAUGCUAUCUAAACCUCUUGUCUUUACCCAAAUCAGUACUGACCUGAGGAAGAACCGAACCUGGCUUUCUAAGGAUGCUUUUGGAUGUCUUCGAGCAGGGAUGUUGAAUAUGAUUGUUAUUUACAGGGUAGAGCAGCCACCAGUGUCUUCCUUCACUUGUGUCAAGGUCAAAUUCCCUCUGGACCAAGCCAGCCCUCUCAAAAGGCUCUCAGGCUCUCAGAGGGACAGAUGUCUUGGAGCUUUCAUCCUGAAGAGCCUGAACAAACAGCCAAUGAUAGGUGUGGAGCUGCUUGGCCUGGACCAGCCAGCCUUGGAUAGAGCAGAUUGUGACAUCCAAGGUGGAUACAUUGCCUAGCCCAUUGUGGAGUAUUCCUGGACGCCUAUCCAUGCCAGAAACACAUAGUGAGUAGCUGUUUGCUGAACUUUAACUGAAUGGGUGAUUUGAGGUGACCUCUGUGGUCUAAGACUCUCUGUCUCUGUCUCUGUCUUUCUCUGUCUCUCUCCUCUCUCGUUUCUCCCGUUCUCUCCCUCUCCUCUCCCUUCUUUCCUUCCUCUCUCUUCUCUUUCUCUCCCUCCUCCUCUCUUCCCUCUCUCUCUCUCUCCCUCUCUCCUCUACCUUUGCUUCUUUCUUCUGUCUGCCUUUGAGACAGGGUCUCACAGUGUUGCCCUGGCUGGCCUGGAGCUGUGUACACCAAGCUGGACUUCACCUCACAGAGAUCCACCUGGCCUGGCCUCCUAGGU